rnacentral:rRNA from 1 species
CCUACGGGAGGCAGCAGUAGGGAAUAUUGCUCAAUGGGGGAAACCCUGAAGCAGCAACGCCGCGUGGAGGAUGAAGGUUUUCGGAUUGUAAACUCCUUUUGUUAGAGAAGAUAAUGACGGUAUCUAACGAAUAAGCACCGGCUAACUCCGUGCCAGCAGCCGCGGUAAUACGGAGGGUGCAAGCGUUACUCGGAGUCACUGGGCGUAAAGAGAGCGUAGACGGGAUAGCAAGUCAGAUGUGAAAUCCUAUGGCUUAACCAUAGAACUGCAUUUGAAACUGUUAUUCUAGAGUAUGGGAGAGGUAGGUGGAAUUCUUGGUGUAGGGGUAAAAUCCGUAGAGAUCAAGAGGAAUACUCAUUGCGAAGGCGACCUGCUAGAACAUAACUGACGCUGAUGCGCGAAAGCGUGGGGAGCAAACAGGAUUAGAUACCCUUGUAGUC